rnacentral:hammerhead_ribozyme from 1 species
AUAUAGCUGAGGAGUCCCACAAUAGGACGAAACCGGCCGUCCAGUGC